UAGCAUAUUGAAGAUAAAAUAAAUGACGAUAAUGAUAAUCAAUUCGAAAAGUAUCGAUCAAUGAUUCCUUGACUGAUAAUGUAGAAUCCUCGUAUUCAUUUAUACCUACAAGUGAAAUAUGCAGAGUAAAACUUGUCAUUCACAAUUGGUUCAACAAAGUUUAUAAAAUCACUUUUUUUUUUGAAUGGCAAAUAUAAUAUAUUUAUAAAUAUAAUAACGAGAAAAAUACAAGAGAAAGUUCAGAAAAUGAAGAGGUACCAGAAGUACACUCCACCCAAACCUAACCUUCUCAAAGGAAAACAAACGAAAAAAAGAUACAAAGGAAGUUUAUAAAAUCACAUAUAAUGUAUUAAAGUAUUAUGCUAGCUGCAUUCAAGGAAACGAAAAUGAUAUAGAGAAACAUGUUAUUACCAUUUUCGGUGAUGUAAAUAGAAGGAUUAUUGUACUUUUCUUUGGUGUAUAACAACAGGUCACAAAUUCCUUUUGGAUAAACG
rnacentral:lncRNA from 1 species